rnacentral:rRNA from 1 species
CCUACGGGUGACAGCAGUGGGGAAUAUUGGGCAAUGGAGGCAACUCUUACCCAGCAAUGCCGCGUGAAUGAAGAAGGUCUUCGGAUUGUAAACCACUGUCCCCAGGGACGAAGAUGACGGUACCUGGGGAGGAAGCUCCGGCUAACUACGUGCCAGCAGCCGCGGUAAUACGUAGGGAGCAAGCGUUGUCCGGAAUUACUGGGUGUAAAGGGAGCGUAGGCGGGAUGGCAAGUUGGGUGUUAAAUCUACCGGCUCAACUGGUAGUCGCACUCAAAACUGCUAUUCUUGAGUGAAGUAGAGGCAGGCGGAAUUCCUAGUGUAGCGGUGAAAUGCGUAGAUAUUAGGAGGAACACCAGUGGCGAAGGCGGCCUGCUGGGCUUUUACUGACGCUGAGGCUCGAAAGUGUGGGGAGCAAACAGGAUUAGAUACCCGAGUAGUC